rnacentral:rRNA from 1 species
UGGGGAAUAUUGGACAAUGGGCGAAAGCCUGAUCCAGCCAUGCCGCGUGUGUGAAGAAGGUCUUCGGAUUGUAAAGCACUUUAAGUUGGGAGGAAGGGCAGUAACCUAAUACGUUUCUGUCUUGACGUUACCGACAGAAUAAGCACCGGCUAACUCUGUGCCAGCAGCCGCGGUAAUACAGAGGGUGCAAGCGUUAAUCGGAAUUACUGGGCGUAAAGCGCGCGUAGGUGGUUUGUUAAGUUGGAUGUGAAAUCCCCGGGCUCAACCUGGGAACUGCAUCCAAAACUGGCAAGCUAGAGUACGGUAGAGGGUGGUGGAAUUUCCUGUGUAGCGGUGAAAUGCGUAGAUAUAGGAAGGAACACCAGUGGCGAAGGCGACCACCUGGACUGAUACUGACACUGAGGUGCGAAAGCGUGGGGAGCAAACAGGAUUAGAUACCCCCGUAGUCCCUGAGCGGGC